GGUCAUUGCUAUUGGAGUUCGAUUUAGCCAUGCGUUGCACGAGUUUAGACUCGUGGCGGAAAGCUCAGUAACACGUGAUCAAACUACCCUAUGGAUUCGAAUAACCUCGGGAAACUGAGGCUAAUUCGGAAUAAGGCUCCAUCGCUGGAAUGCGUGGAGCUGGAAAUGCUCCGGUGCCAUAGGAUGUGAUUGCGGCCGAUUAGGUAGACGGUGGGGUAACGGCCCACCGUGCCGAUAAUCGGUACGGGUUGUGAGAGCAAGAGCCCGGAGAUGGAUUCUGAGACAAGAAUCCAGGCCCUACGGGGCGCAGCAGGCGCGAAAACUUUACACUGCACGACAGUGCGAUAAGGGAACUCCAAGUGCGAGGGCAUAACGUCCUCGCUUUUGUGUAUCGUAAGGUGGUACACGAAUAAGAGCUGGGCAAGACCGGUGCCAGCCGCCGCGGUAAUACCGGCAGCUCAAGUGAUGACCAAUUUUAUUGGGCCUAAAGCGUCCGUAGCCGGCCAGACAGGUCCGUCGGGGAAAUCUGCUCGCUCAACGAGCAGGCGUCCGGCGGAAACCCGCUGGCUUGGGGCCGGAAGAUCCAAGGGGGUACGUCUGGGGUAGGAGUGAAAUCCUGUAAUCCUAGACGGACCACCGAUCGCGAAAGCACCUUGGAAGGACGGACCCGACGGUAGAGGGACGAAAGCUAGGGUCACGAACCGGAUUAGAUACCCGGGUAGUCCUAGCUGUAAACGAUGCUCGCUAGGUGUGGCACAGGCUACGAGCCUGUGCUGUGCCACAGUGAAGACGUAAGCGAGCCGCCUGGGAAGUACGUCCGCAAAGGAUGAAACUUAAAGGAAUUGGCGGGGGAGCACUACACCCGGAGGAGCCUGCGGUUUAAUUGGAACUCAACGCCGGACAUCUUACCAGCAUCGACAAUAGCUGUGACAGUCAGUGUGAUGAGCUUACUAGAGCUUUUGAGAGGAGGUGCAUGGCCGCCG
rnacentral:rRNA from 1 species